AACGAACGCUGGCGGCAGGCUUAACACAUGCAAGUCGAACGCCCCGCAAGGGGAGUGGCAGACGGGUGAGUAACGCGUGGGAACAUACCCUUUUCUACGGAAUAGCUCUGGGAAACUGGAAUUAAUACCCUAUACGCCCUACGGGGGAAAGUUUUUCGCCAUUGGAGGGGCCCGCGUCGGAUUAGCUAGUUGGUGAGGUAAGAGCUUACCAAGGCGACGAUCCGUAGCUGGUCUGAGAGGAUGAUCAGCCACACUGGGACUGAGACACGGCCCAGACUCCUACGGGAGGCAGCAGUGGGGAAUAUUGGACAAUGGGGGCAACCCUGAUCCAGCAAUGCCGCGUGAGUGAUGAAGGCCUUAGGGUUGUAAAGCUCUUUCGACGGGGACGAUGAUGACGGUACCCGUAGAAGAAGCCCCGGCUAACUUCGUGCCAGCCGCCGCCGUAAUAC
rnacentral:rRNA from 1 species